rnacentral:tRNA from 1 species
GCAUUGGUUGUUCAGUGGUAGAAUUCUUGCUUCCACAGAAGAGGCCCAGGUUCAAUUCCCAGCCAAUGCA